UUAGGUUAACCAUAUAAGAUAUGUUAUUUCCUCUAAUAAUACGCAUCAACCUCAAGUAGAAAAUGCUUGGAGUUUUAUGUCUCAUUGAGGCGAAUGCAUAUAAUUAAAGAAAAUAACAUAUUUUAUGUGGUUAAUUUAACU
rnacentral:pre_miRNA from 1 species